rnacentral:tRNA from 1 species
GAUGUAAAGCAACUUUCUGCAUCUGGUUUCGACCCAGAAGAGGCCCUUUACAGGCUACAUCUU